rnacentral:lncRNA from 1 species
AAGAGCCAGCUGAAGCUCAGCUGUUUUGGGGACUAGUUGGUCAGAGAUGGUUCUUAGAAGCAGGAGAGAUCAUUCUUGUGGUUUAGCAGCCAUUGGUUGGGCAAUUCAGGCUUAUCAAAAGGGAUCAGGCAGACAGUUAUGGACUAAGGUCAAGUGAGGGUCAGAGUGAACAAGGUGCUUACUACAGUGACAAAGGAAGUCACUAGUGUGAUGAGUAAGGAGUAAGGUGGGGAAGAAUCUUCCAGGUGGCCCUCUGCUCAGAAGUUGUUUUCUUUACAAAAGCAGAGGAGGUUGUUGAUUCUUCCUUUCUUCCCGAUGCACCAUCCCCAUCUCUACCCUGCUUGUCUCACAAACCAACCAAAGCAGCAGGGAGAAAUGCAGUCGUAUCUAAGCAGCAGCAGAUGACAAUAGCAUGCAAAGUCUUAAAGAGGGCGGUGGGCAGGACCACACCUCCUUAAGCUUCCAGAAUGUCACAGUAAUGAACCAGAAGUGCCCACGCCCUUGCAGACAGAGGACUGAGAACUCACACAGACUGAUCAUGUAGCUUCACUUAGAUGAUGACUGAAUACGGGUCUGCAUUGUUUGGUGGUACUACUAGGGCCAUACUAGCACGUGAGCAUUUGCUUAUGGAAUGUGAGAAAUACAAACAGGAGCAGGCCUUGUUCAUGUACCUGUGUGUGAACCGUGGCCUAGUCACUUGUGAAUCUGAACACAAAUGUCCACUGUGACUGCCCGGUCCAGGUACCUCUGCUUACAGUGCCUGGAAACAGUCUCUUUACCUUUUUUACGAUAAAGUCAAUGCAAAGGAUUAGCCGAGAAUACUUGAGUCCACAUGAUGGAAGGAACUGGAUGCCGUUUAAUGAAUAAGUAAUUUAAGCGCUUUGCAUUAGUCAUCUCCAUUGAGCACUGCAGUCCCUGCUUCAAGCUGAGCACCCCCAGACCAGCAGCUACAGGGUGAGGUUCAAC